AGCAGCCGCGGUAAUUCCAGCUCCAAUAGCGUAUAUUAAAGUUGUUGCAGUUAAAAAGCUCGUAGUUGAAUUUCGGGAUUGACACAUCGGUCGUGCCUUAAGGGGUAUGAACUGGUGUAGUCAAUUUCUCACCUUCUGGAGAACCGCGAUGCCCUUAAUUGGGUGUCGCGGGGAACCAGGACCUUUACUUUGAAAAAAUUAGAGUGUUUAAAGCAGGCAUUUUGCUUGAAUACAUUAGCAUGGAAUAAUAAAAUAGGGCGGCAUGAUUCUAUUUUGUUGGUUUCUAGGAUCACCGUAAUGAUUAAUAGGGAUAGUUGGGGGGCAUUAGUAUUCAAUUGUCAGAGGUGAAAUUCUUGGAUUUAUUGAAGACUAACUACUGCGAAAAGCAUUUGCCAAGGAUGUUUUUCAUUAAUCAAGGACGAAAGUUAGGGGAUCGAAGACGAUCAGAUACCGUCGUAGUCUUAACCAUAAACUAUGCCGACUAGGAAUCAGACGAUGUUAAUUUUUU
rnacentral:misc_RNA from 1 species